rnacentral:rRNA from 1 species
AACGAACGCUGGCGGCAUGCCUAACACAUGCAAGUCGAACGAGACCUUCGGGUCUAGUGGCGCACGGGUGCGUAACGCGUGGGAACCUGCCCUUAGGUUCGGAAUAACUCCCCUAAAGGGGUGCUAAUACAGGAUAAUUUCUGCGGACAAAAGAUUUAUCGCCUUUGUAUGGGCCCGCGUUGGAUUAGCUAGUUGGUAGGGUAAAAGCCUACCAAGGCGACGAUCCAUAGCUGGUCUGAGAGAAUGAUCAGCCACACUGGGACUGAGACACGGCCCAGACUCCUACGGGAGGGAGCAGUGGGGAAUAUUGGAAAAUGGGCGAAAGCCUGAUGCAGCAAUGCCGCGUGAGUGAUGAAGGCCUUAGGGUUGUAAAGCUCUUUUACCCGGGAUGAUAAUGACAGUACCGGGAGAAUAAGCACCGGCUAACUCCGUG